UUUUAUAGAAGGGAACAGUUCAAUGAGGUAUAGGCAGCCUUUAUUAAGGUAUUGUCCAUUAUACAUUUAUUUUGUUUGACAUUUUUAUCAAAUUCUUUUCAAGAAUUAUUUUUUUUUACCCAAUGGGUUCAAAAGAUUUUAUGUUUGUUUGUUUAUUGGAUAUUCUGUCUGGUAUAAAAUAAAUAACACUGCUUCCAAGUAACAUAAAAAC